UGGGAAAUUUUGGACAAUGGGGGAAACCCUGAUCCUGCCAUCCCGCGUGUGCGAUGAAGGCCUUCGGGUUGUAAAGCACUUUUGGCAGGAAAGAAACGUCAUGGGUUAAUACCCCGUGAAACUGACGGUACCUGCAGAAUAAGCACCGGCUAACUACGUGCCAGCAGCCGCGGUAAUACGUAGGGUGCAAGCGUUAAUCGGAAUUACUGGGCGUAAAGCGUGCGCAGGCGGUUCGGAAAGAAAGAUGUGAAAUCCCAGAGCUCAACUUUGGAACUGCAUUUUUAACUACCGGGCUAGAGUGUGUCAGAGGGAGGUGGAAUUCCGCGUGUAGCAGUGAAAUGCGUAGAUAUGCGGAGGAACACCGAUGGCGAAGGCAGCCUCCUGGGAUAACACUGACGCUCAUGCACGAAAGCGUGGGGAGCAAACAGG
rnacentral:rRNA from 1 species